CUAAGAAUCUUCCGCAAUGGGCGAAAGCCUGACGGAGCGACGCCGCGUGGACGAUGAAGGCCGUAAGGUUGUAAAGUCCUUUUCUCCAUGAGGAAUAAGGGUGGGAGUGGAAAGCCCACUUGAUGACGGUAAUGGAGGAAUAAGCACCGGCUAACUACGUGCCAGCAGCCGCGGUAAUACGUAGGGUGCGAGCGUUGUUCGGAGUUAUUGGGCGUAAAGGGCGUGUAGGCGGCUUGAGAAGUCUGAUUUGAAAUGCACUGGCUCAACUGGUGCGCUGGGUCAGAAACUGGCAGGCUAGAGUUCAUGGGGAGGAGCUGGAAUUCCAGGUGUAGGGGUGAAAUCUGUAGAGAUCUGGAAGAACACCGGUAGCGAAGGCGGGCUCCUAUGGAUGGACUGACGCUGAGGCGCGAAAGCGUGGGGAGCGAACAGGGAUUAGAUACCCUGGUAGUCCACGCUGUAAACGAUGUGCACUAGGUAU
rnacentral:rRNA from 1 species